UUGGUUGAAUUACUCUAUCACCAUGAUCUCAACUAUUACGUCUAACAAUUUUCAUGAUCAAGAACAUUUUGGAAGCUUUCAUUAUCUUCCUUACUAUUCUAGGAAUUUAGGUAUCAUAAUGAUCUCACCGAAUUCUCAGAAUUUGAUUCAAGGGAAAAAAGGGGGAAAAAAGUCUGCAACUCCCUGGGGCAAAAGUUGAAAACUUUAGGACCUAAAUCCAUGAAGAAUGAAACUGAACUUUUUAAAACUCUUGUAGCUCAUAAAACUAAAUGGAAGAAAAAAAGAA